AUUGAACGCUGGCGGCAUGCCUUACACAUGCAAGUCGAACGGCAGCACGGGUGCUUGCACCUGGUGGCGAGUGGCGAACGGGUGAGUAAUAUAUCGGAACAUACCCUAGAGUGGGGGAUAACGUAGCGAAAGUUCCGCUAAUACCGCAUACGAACUAAGGUUGAAAGUGGGGGAUCGCAAGUCCUCAUGCCCAUGGAGUGGCCGAUAUCUGAUUAGCUAGUUGGUGAGGUAAAGGCUCACCAAGGCGACGAUCAGUAGCUGGUUUGAGAGAACGACCAGCCACACUGGAACUGAGACACGGUCCAGACUCCUACGGGAGGCAGCAGUGGGGAAUUUUGGACAAUGGGGGCAACCCUGAUCCAGCAAUGCCGCGUGAGUGAAGAAGGCCCUCGGGUUGUAAAGCUCUUUUGUCAGGGAAGAAACGGUCUACUCUAAUACAGUGGGCUAAUGACGGUACCUGAAGAAUAAGCACCGGCUAACUACGUGCCAGCAGCCGCCGUAACAC
rnacentral:rRNA from 1 species